UUGGUCUUCCAUUACUUUUUAAUUUGUAGCUGGUGUUGACAAAUGUAUUGUCAGCAUAUCCACCUGGCCCCUCCAUUGUUUGCGUCUCUCUUAACUCUCUUUAACGUUAGCAGGCUACACAACAUAUCGUGUCACUGGCAGAUAAAACAGAGCGGGGCUAUUGACGGCUCUGUGAUUGGUCGAGAUUCGGCUAGCCUCCUUUCAACUUUUUACUUACGGAAUUCUACCUGACAACAGCAAUGAACUCAAUUCUGAUGGGUUAUUUUUUUUGACCAAGGAAGGCCGUUUCAAGCCUCCUUUGAAGGCUGGUUUGACCUCACACAGUAACGUCACGACAUGAGUCGAGACUACAACCGGAAAUUACCUGAACAAAAUAGCACUAUAUUUAUUCAGUUAAGACACACAUAAUCUCAAACUGAAUGGUGUUCUAUUGUCAUCACAUAUAGCUUUAUUUUUUUAAACCCCCCCUCAAAUUUCUGAAGAGUUGCUGCCUCCCUUGCCUUCCCUGACAAUGGAGAAAUUAUGUCUUGAUGAAUCAGCCGUAAAAGCAGUGGAUGAGUACUGGGAGUACAGAAGUAUUGUUGGUGAUGAUGAUGGUGGCAGACUGUUCACCCCGGAGCAAUAUGAGGAGUACAAGAGGACGGUGCUCCCUCAACGCAUGAAAAACAGGCUGUUUGUGAGCUUUGGGGUGCCAGAAGGUAUCGACUGCAAUCUCAUUGGUCCUGAGACACAGUGCUUCUGUACACAUAGGUACAAGCAACAUAAGACAGACUUUGAAGUGGUUCCCUCUGAGCGGCCCCUUGGCCUACCAUGCCAGGUGAGGGGAUGUCGCUGUUCUGCUUAUGAGUACGUUCCUCGAAAUGGGCCAAACCCUGUCCGCUGCAGGUGUAAACACUUAUCUCAGGACCACAGUGAAGCCACUGGGCACUUGUGCAAGAAGUGCAAUUCCUGUUCUGGGUUCCAGAGCACCGUCACCUGUGGUUGUGGCCAGCCCAACUCUGCCCACCAGACCCUGGUUGAGACAAAACCUGAGAGGGAGGCGCGGGGUCGGCCAGUAGGCCGGGAUGUCCCGUACGCUGCCAUGGGGGGGCUGACGGGGUUCAGCUCCCUACUGGACGGCUACCUCAAUCAGGAGGCCUGUGGCUCAGAUCGGGACACAUCGGGUGCUGUUAGCAGAGGAGCUCAGCAUCAAAGAUUAACCACGCAUACGCAUUCAAGAAGAAACACAUCCAUUAGGAAAUCAGCAGAGAGUGAUGAGAGCUGAUUUAAUCCACACGGUGAAUGGAGAUUUAAGCAGAUCUUGUUCUCUCCGCUGGCGGCCCACUUUCCGGCGUCUUUACGUUAGAAAAAAAUAAUUCUAAACGGAGGAUUCACUCCCACUCAAAUGUUCCCACUGUGUGGAUGGCGAGUCAUACUGGAUCAGCAUCUGUACCGGUGCUGACCAGUGCACGUCAAGUCACCUCACCUUUGUUGUAAUGUAAGUACUACCUGAGGGAACUGGGAGUGUGUGUGUGUGUGAGAGAGAGACUGAGUGAGUGUACUUGUACUUCUCUCCUUGUGAAGACCAGUUUGAGUUGUAGACCUUAUGCAGUAAGGACAAUUGAGGGUUAAGACUUGGUUUUAGGGUUAUAAUAAGUUUUAGGUUUAGGUUAGGGUCAGGGUAAGGGUUGGAGUUUUUGUUAGCAGUUAGUAUUUAGUUGUGAUGGAUACGGUUAGGGUGAGGGGCCAGGGAAUGCAUUAUGUCAAUGCGGGUCCUGAUAAAGAUAGAAGUACUGUGGUGUGUGUGUGUGUGUGUGUGUGUGUGUUUGUGUGAACAGGUGGUCUGAAGGAUAAGAAAAUGGGGCUAUACGCCCGAAGCACAGCAUGCAUGCACCUGGGUCCCAUCUGAAAGCCAACACUUCAAAUUCAAUGUGUAUGCACGAUGAACCAUGGUAUCAGGUUGCCGCAAGAAGAAAUAUGAACACACAAAUUCACAGCCGCACAUUCACACUUUAUACCAAUCAUGUUUCCCAUUCACUACCCAGAAGAGCUUUGUUGACUGCUAGAGUCAAGCAUCCUUUAAAAAAAAAACCAACACUUGAUCUAUCAACGCUGCUUACUCCUCGGAUAUUUUUUUCUCACAGAGACCUUCUGUGGGGGGAAAAACCGGGCAGUGGAGUGUGCUGGAGAACGCAAGAGCGAAAACCCAAUUAAUUUAAGAGGGAAAAGGGCUGACAUUAGUCUGGCACAAUUACAAUUUAGGGUAAUUGCCUCUCCAUAGCAACCGCGUUUGGGAGGCUACAGGUAAUUUACUUUGACCAUUGGUUAAAGAAAAUGACUACAACACUUCCCUCAUCCCCAUGGAAACCACGCCCAGCGUGACUGACAGAUCAGACACCACAAAUCAUGAGGUGAGCGCAGAAGAUCAAAUUGGCAAUUACUGCGCAAGGAAACACUUAAUUACCCCAGUGACAGUUGGGGUAUGCACACACUGAACUGGAGCUGAACAACACACUCCCCUAAUUUCCCCGCAGAUGGAGCGAGAGGUAACAAAAAAACCCAGGCGGGGCACAGAGACGCACAACAGGCUGACAGGUCAAGUGUCACAGUCUCUCCUUCCAUCUGACGGAAUGAACGGCACAAUGAAAUCAGAGGAGCGAUUCAAACAGCGUGUGAAGAAAGCAGUUGUGAACAUUUGAGGUCGCUUUACUCCAGAUCACCCAAGGUUUCAUCAACAGGAGCUUCUUUUGGCGAGCAGGCCGCCUGUGGAAGAUCCAUUUGAAGUUCACCACACAGCGUUGCAUUACUGCCAUUCUUUUGUGACUUCAGGAAGGGUUACUGAUCUCAUAAUGCAGAAGAAUCCCCAGUUGAUUGUGAAAUCAUUUUUUCACCCAACUUCUCACAGAGAAGCCCCAUAAACACCAAAACAUCA